rnacentral:rRNA from 1 species
GACAGAGGGUGCAAACGUUGUUCGGAAUUACUGGGCGUAAAGCGCGUGUAGGCGGCCCUGCAAGUCGGGUGUGAAAUCCCACGGCUCAACCGUGGAAGUGCACUCGAAACUGCAGGGCUAGAGUCCUGGAGAGGAUGGUGGAAUUCCAAGUGUAGCGGUGAAAUGCGUAGAUAUUUGGAGGAACACCGGUGGCGAAAGCGACCAUCUGGGGCGUUACUGACGCUGAGGUUCGAAAGCUCGGGGAGCAAACAGG